GACGAACGCUGGCGGCGUGCUUAACACAUGCAAGUCGAACGGACAGGCCCUGCUUUUGUGGGUUUCUCGUUUGGCGAACGGGUGAGUAACACGUGAGUAACCUGCCCUUGUCUUUGUGAUAACUUCACGAAACUGCGGCUCUUACCCGAUAUGAUCUCCUGCUGCAUGUUGUGGGUUGGUAAGUUUCGGCGGUUGGGGAUGGACUCGCGGCUUAUCCGCUUGUUUGUGGGGUAGUUGCUUACCAAGGCUUUGACGGGUAGCCGGCCUGAGAGGCGUACCGGCGACAAUGGGACUGAGAGACGGCGCAGAAGCGUACGGGAGGCAGCAGGGGGGAAUAUGGCAGAAUGGGCGGAAGCGAGAUGCAGAAACGCCGGGUGCGGGAUGACGGGUUUCGGGUUGAAAACAGAUGUGGAAGGUAACAAAGAGGGAGUGACGGUAAUGGGUAAAGAAGCAACGGCUAACUACGUG
rnacentral:rRNA from 1 species